rnacentral:lncRNA from 1 species
GGAUUGUUAUGGAGUACUGUGGCGCUGGCUCUGUCUCAGACAUAAUUAGAUUACGAAACAAGACUUAAUAGAAGAUGAAAUUGCAACCAUUCUUAAAUCUACAUUGAAAGGACUAGAAUAUUUGCACUUUAUGAGAAAAAUACACAGAGAUAUAAAAGCUGGAAAUAUUCUCCUCAAUACAGAAGGACAUGCAAAAUUGGCAGAUUUUGGAGUGGCUGGUCAGUUAACGAUACAAUGGCAAAACGCAAUACUGUAAUAGGAACUCCAUUUUGGAUGGCUCCUGAGGUGAUUCAAGAAAUAGGCUAUAACUGUGUGGCCGA